ensembl:lncRNA
GGGUGGAGGAGCUGUUGGUGGUGUGUUGAGAUGACUGUGGGUGGAGGAGCUGUUGGUGAUGUGUUGAGGACUGUGGGUGGAGGAGCUGUUGGUGAUGUGUUGAGAUGACUGUGGGUAGAAGACCUGCUUGGAGCCAUGUGUUGAGAUGACUGUGGGUGGAGGAGCUGUUGGUGGUGUGUUGAGAUGACUGUGGGUGGAGGAGCUGUUGGUGAUGUGUUGAGGACUGUGGGUGGAGGAGCUGUUGGUGAUGUGUUGAGAUGACUGUGGGUGGAGGUGCUGUUGGUGAUGUGUUGAGAUGACUGUGGGUGGAGGGGCUGUUGGUGAUGUGUUGAGAUGACUGUGGGUGGAGGUGCUGUUGGUGAUGUGUUGAGAUGACUGUGGGUGGAGGGGCUGUUGGUGAUGUGUUGAGACGACUGUGGGUGGAGGAGCUGUUGUUGAUGUGUUGAGACGACUGUGGGUGGAGGAGCUGUUGGUGAUGUGUUGAGAUGACUGUGGGUGGAGGAGCUGUUGGUGAUGUGUUGAGAUGACUGUGGGUGGAGGAGCUGUUGGUGAUGUGUUGAGAUGACUGUGGGUGG